CAGCUCCAUACAGCAUACGGAACCUCAGCGAUCCCUCCCUCACUCAGUAUGAGCUGGACAAUCUUACGAAACACAAGCGCUAUGAAAUCAGAAUGAGUGUCUAUAAUGCUGUUGGUGAGGGACCAACUAGCUCACCACAGGAAGUCUUUGUUGGCGAAGCAGUUCCCACUGCCCCGCCUCAAAAUGUGGUCAUCCAAUCAGCUACUGCCACACAAUUUGAUGUGACGUGGGACCCGCCUCCGCUGGAGACUCAGA